GCUUUGCCAUUGCAGCCUAUUUGUUUUCCAGUUAAUAAGGAGAAAGAAUUGGGCCGUCUGGCUGAUACACUUGUUACUAAUUAGCUGUGUGGCAAUACCCUCUUUUGGGCGUUAGCUUCCCUAUGUACAAAAGAAGGUUUCACUAGCUCCAGUCCUGGAGGGCACACGGCCCAGCCCCGGACAGCCUUUUGCCUUGCAGGAACGCAGACCCAGUGAUGCCAGGUCUAAAUUUUCAAGAAAAGCUAGAAAUCCAGAUUAUGUAGAGAUUCAAUAUUUAAAAGUUGGGAACUUUUUUUUUUAAGUCAAUUGCUGGAGCACCAGUUUGCUGUCUCUGAAUUAAUGUGAUUUUAAGCAUUUCUCGUAGUGACCUGUUGAAGCAUUGUGUCUGAGUGCAGAGACGGAACUCUUGAAGAACGGAAGAGAUUUCAGAGAAAAGUGACAAAUUAAAUGAUACGUCUUGUGGCAAAGUGACCAGCACACAGUAAUCAUUCAGUUCGUGUUUGUUUAUGAAAAAUCACUUAAAAACGAAAAGACGAGGAGGAGGAAGGAGCCAAGAGCUGGCCGCCACCGUCUUCAGUCACAUUGGUCACCUGGAAAGCAGAAUCCUAUCAAUGGAAUUGUAUUGUUCCCUUGCUUUCAACAUUGUGGCCAUCUACUCAUCCUGUCUCCAGGAAUUGCUUAGCUGUAUUUCUCGCAGUAGCUGAAGAAACUGAGGCUCAGGGCUGCCUUGCUAGCCAGCAGCUGGGCUUAGCUUUGAUUCCAGUCUGCCUUGGCUACCACGGCUGACCUCUUGCCACGCCACCGUUGCCUCUCUCUCUCCAUGCUCCAUGGGCACCGCGAUGCCAGCAGUCUCCCUGAGGAGCCAGGCCUCGGGCUGUGCAGGCCCCUUGCAUUAAGAGACCCUCUGCAUAUCUUCUUUCCCUCCCACUGGUAUGUCAUUAAUAAAUGUGCACGAUGUGCCUUCAGCACUGCAGAGUGUGGUGGAGUGAAAGCAACUGGAUGGGAUGGGUGCCAGGGGCCCGGAGGGCCACGCUGAGGAGUGGGGGCUCUGUACUGGUGGCAGUGGGCAGCCACCGGUGGGUUUUAAGCUGGGCAUAACCAGUUAGGAAGCUAGUAGAUCAGGGGAGAAAUGUCAAGGUCCAGAAUAAGGCAGAUCACUGAGGGGUGAGACAGGCUGGGUUGAGGGGUGUUAAGGCGAGGGAACCACGGGAGCUGGUUGAGGAGUGGAGGGCCUGACUGAGUUCCAUGUUUCGCGCGUCUCCUGUGUGCCACGAGAUGGGGCUGUCAUGGAAAGCAGACCCCGUCCCUGCUCUCAGGAAGCUUCCUUUCCAGAAGUCGACAAUGUGACUGCAUGAACUCACAGGAUAAAUUAGAUUGUGAAACAUCAGCUUCCUGAGGCCCGAGCCCCUGUUUGUCUUCUUCAGAGGCCACUUUGGGGCGUAGCAAUCACAGAACUCAGGGAAUCACAGGUCCGUGAAGGACUGAGCCCCAUUUAUGGACAGUGGCCUUGAGGCAUGGGACAGGAAGUGGCUUUCAGGACACUCUGCUAAGAAGAUCAGGGCUCUGAGCCCCCGUGUG
ensembl:lncRNA